GUUACUUUCUCUAUAUGAGACAUUUUUGGUGAAUAAAUGACUUUAUAAAAUAAAUGAUUGGUUUUGUUGUGAACUACCCCCCUUUUCUUGCAGGCACUGUUUCAGAGAUGUUCAAGUAUGACCUCAAAGCCAACACUUUCAAUCACUUUUCCAAGGUUUUUUAGGUUAGUGUGGUGGUAAAGACGAAGAGUGAAGAAAGCAGCAGGUGAUUCUGAAGGAAGGUUAUAAGCCACCUACCCAAUCAGAAAAAGAUACUGAAACUGUGAGUGCUAUUUUUCUAAAUAAACCCCCCCCCAAAAAAUCAUCAACCUUGAGGGCUGAGAGACUGAGUGAACAUGGAGGUGGCAUAAACUGCCGUUCCUCAAAUGUCCACUUGAGGCUCUAGAUGGUCUGGAAGUUGGAGCCAGUGAUUUGCUGCUCACACGCCCACUUUUCUAACCUUGAGGCUGGUCUGCAAAUGACAGCAGGCAGUUGGAGCAGGAGGAGGAUAAGAAAUACUUUCUGCCGCAGAAAAAAAGGAGGAUCAGGGAAAAUGAUUGUGCAGAUGACAGAAUGAUGCUGAAGAUGAAAGAGUAAAGUUGUCUUAAAAGAGAGUACAAAGGAUGAGGAAGGAUUUGUGUUGGUGGGAUCACUGCCGAGUCAAAGCAACGAUAAAGGCGAGGUCCGCCGGGAGCGAGGUUCUGAUACCGCCAGGGAUCACUGGGUCAGAGCGACUCAGCAAAAAAAGGCGAAACGUGCACCAAGCGACGUGGAAAACUCAAUUUCACAACAUCACAUUAAUCCAUCAACGUCCUCGCUGAGUUUGUUUGAUGUUUGGUUGCAUCAGUGCCGACUCCUCACAGCAGGUUUCAGACAGAGGUCAGGCUUUAGCUGCAGUUUGAUCUUCAGUUUGAUCUUCUGAGCUACACGCAGUGAAGUGAUGAAAGGGCCGCUGGGUUAAAGGCGAAAUGACAGGAAAAGGGCCAAAAAGAAUGCAAAUUACAUUGGAAGUGAUUAACCAAAUGACUGAUUACAUGGUUUUAGUGGGAGCGUCCGCUCAUCUGCAGACUUAUUAAACAUCUGGAGCACACCAAAAACCGAGCCCUGAAAACAACGAACAAGAAGAUCCACUCAAAGAGCGCCACCAUCUGCCAAGGCAGCGCACAACAGGCAGUAUUUACUUUUAAGGGAUUAGUAUUGUAUUUUCUGUAUAUUCAGUUUUCUUUGUUCCUUUAAGUUUAAGACGUUUGUAGUGCAGCAAAACCAGUGUGAAGCGCAGCUUAUUGUGUUGUUUGCCCCACUGAAACUUGUUUUAAUCUA